rnacentral:rRNA from 1 species
UACGUAGGGUGCAAGCGUUAAUCGGAAUUACUGGGCGUAAAGCGUGCGCAGGCGGUUUUGUAAGUCUGUCGUGAAAUCCCCGGGCUUAACCUGGGAAUGGCGAUGGAGACUGCAAGGCUAGAGUUUGGCAGAGGGGGGUAGAAUUCCACGUGUAGCAGUGAAAUGCGUAGAGAUGUGGAGGAACACCGAUGGCGAAGGCAGCCCCCUGGGUCAAAACUGACGCUCAUGCACGAAAGCGUGAGGAGCAAACAGG